CUAAGAGUCACCCAAACGUUUCAGCCCCAGGCCUGCUGGCCCUGGCUGGUGGGCCUUCCCGCCUCACAGCUGCCCUCCCCCGAAGACACCGCAAAGGUGUGAAAAAGUCCAGCAUGAACUCAGACAGGACACAGACCAGGACCAGAGCCUCAUGUAGACAGAGCUGCUGCAGAAGGAGCAAUGAGCAUGCCUGCACCCUUGAGAGACCUGAGGAGGAUGAAGGAAAAUACGGACAACUUGAAUCCAUGACAGUCUUCAGUCUAGGAUCAAGGCCUCCUCACAAAAGCCAUCUCCUUGUAGCUGAGAACUCAACAGACUGUCUGGAAUCAGUUGCGGCAUCACAGUCCUGUAACACCAGAACUCCCAGGCAGAGAUGGAUGUCUGCAAGUGCCAAGUGGCUUGGUCUACACAGUGAGUUCCUAGCUGGGGUUCAUAAUGCUACACAGAGGGGUGAUGUCUUGCGUGUAGAUGGUCUCUGUGGAUACUCCCUUGUGAGAGCAAAACUAUCUCUACUAUAUCUCUGAGGUCAUAUUAGCUAAAUAUACUAAAUGUUACUAAAAUACAAUACUCUAUAUACUCAGGUUCAUAAAAUGAUCAAAAAGACCAAAUUAAUAGAAGACAUAACUGUACUCCUCUAAUACCUUAAGAGAUGAAAAAUUUAAGUGUGUAUAGAAGAAAUCAGAAAACCCUGAGCUAUCUGCCUCUGGUUUUCAUGAAAUAUAGCAUUAGUGAUAGAUGCAUUGCAGAGACAAUGACUUCCUCGACAUGUAGGGAUAUAGUUUUGUUUUUCUGCUUUUGUUUGUUUGUGUUUGAGAUUUAUUUCAUUCAUUUAUGUGUAUGGGUGUUUUGCAUG
ensembl:lincRNA 4933413J09Rik RIKEN cDNA 4933413J09 gene